rnacentral:rRNA from 1 species
CAAGUACACGCCUUAACAAGGUGAAACCGCGAACGGCUCAUUAUAACAGCUAUAAUUUACUUGACCUUGACCAGUUACUUGGAUAACUGUGGUAAUUCUAGAGCUAAUACAUGCACCGAAGUUGUUCCUCGCGGAGCAAUGCAUUUAUUUGAGCAAAACCAGGCGGCUUCGGCCGUUUCUGUUGAAUCAGAAUAACUAAGCUGAUCGCAUGGGCUUGUCCCGGCGACGUGUCUUUCAAGUGUCUGCCUUAUCAACUUUCGAUGGUAGUGUACGUGACUACCAUGGUGUUGACGGGUAACGGAGGAUAAGGGUUCGACUCCGGAGAAGGGGCCUGAGAAAUGGCCACUACGUCUAAGGAUGGCAGCAGGCGCGCAAAUUACCCACUCUCGGUUCGAGGAGGUAGUGACGAAAAAUAACAAGGCCGUUCUCUUUGAGGCCGGCCAUUGGAAUGGGUACAACUUAAACCCUUUAACGAGUAUCAAUGAGAGGGCAAGUCUGGUGCCAGCAGCCGCGGUAAUUCCAGCUCUCAAAAUGCAUAGAACCAUUGCUGCGGUUAAAAAGCUCGUAGUUGGAUCUGUGCCGGCGACGUGGUCCGCCCUAACGGGAGGUACUGCGCUCGUCGGCUUUGGGCCGGUUUUCGGUCGGUCGCCUUAACUGGCGGCCGCUCGUGGCUGGCUGGUUUACUUUGAGCAAAUCAGAGUGCUCAGCACAGGCGUCUCGCCGGAAUGUUCGUGCAUGGAAUAAUAGAAAAGGAUUUCGGUCCUCUUUUAUUGGUUUUGUGGACUGAGAUAAUGGUUAACAGAGACGGACGGGGGCAUUCGUAUUGCUGCGUGAGAGGUGAAAUUCUUGGACCGCAGCAGGACGGACUACAGC